rnacentral:rRNA from 1 species
GUCUACGGCCAUACCACCCUGAACGCGCCCGAUCUCGUCUGAUCUCGGAAGCUAAGCAGGGUCGGGCCUGGUUAGUACUUGGAGUGGGAGACCGCCUGGGAAGUACCGGGUGCUGUAGGUC